AAACUAUGUAUUUAAGCUAAUGUUCAGUGUCUAUAGCGGUUUACUGACUUUAACGUUAAGUGAUUCUGAAGGAGAAAAAAGCAGAUACUUUAUUUUGAUGCCUGUAGGAGUCACAAUUCAAAUCUAGGAGAAUAAUUUUUAACUUUUUGGCAGCUCAAGUUGAUCAUUAUCUAACUUUAGGUAAUGGCUCAUAGUAUUGAUUAUUUUU